rnacentral:rRNA from 1 species
AUUGAACGCUGGCGGCAUGCUCUACACAUGCAAGUCGAACGGUAACAGGCCGCAAGGUGCUGACGAGUGGCGCACGGGUGCGUAAUGCAUCGGAACGUGCCCAGUCGUGGGGGAUAACUACUCGAAAGAGUAGCUAAUACCGCAUACGAUCUAUGGAUGAAAGCGGGGGACCGUAAGGCCUCGCGCGAUUGGAGCGGCCGAUGUCAGAUUAGGUAGUUGGUGGGGUAAAGGCUCACCAAGCCAACGAUCUGUAGCUGGUCUGAGAGGACGACCAGCCACACUGGGACUGAGACACGGCCCAGACUCCUACGGGAGGCAGCAGUGGGGAAUUUUGGACAAUGGGCGCAAGCCUGAUCCAGCAAUGCCGCGUGCAGGAAGAAGGCCUUCGGGUUGUAAACUGCUUUUGUACGGAACGAAACGGCUCUGGUUAAUACCCGGGGCUAAUGACGGUACCGUAAGAAUAAGCACCGGCUAACUACGUG